UUACUUGUAACCUUAGUUUGUGCCAGCGGUUCUUGUGAUCUAUGUAAUUUUCACAGUUAUGAUAGUCAUUGGUAAAUGCAUUCUACUUAAAGUGUCGUGGAUGUUCUGCCAAACUUGCUCCACAUUUCUUGUACGAAGUGGUAGAGUCUCCCAGAAAAGUAAUGGAGGAUUCGAUUUGAAGAGAUUUACGAUAAUAAAGACAAGAAGAAAUGCAACAAUCACCCACUCAUGCAGAGUUAAUAAUGAUCAGAAAAUGUACCCUCAAGAAGUUAAAACCUGUAAUUGGUUUCAAACCUUUAAUUGCUGCUCCAACUUGAAACAUUUCACCUGUCAAUGCCAAGACUCACUACAGGAGAACUUUGUUGCCACAAGCUACAGCAUUAUAAAUCUCAUUUUACAAUUUUUUUUCUUUGCAAAAAGUUGCCAGAACAGCUGAAAUCUCAGAAGAUGCAAGCCGUGAUAUGAAUGAAGUAUUGCUUAUAACCCGGGAUCAGAGAAUAUUUUGUCUCUGCAUUCGUAAAGUUUGAAAGUUAACAAUACUGUUGUGUGAUAAUUGAGCAUUCAAUGUUCAAUAGCCCUAAGUGAUUUUAGUGAGGUUUAGAAUCUGCGUGAUAGUGAGUCUCUUGUUUCAAAAAUAGUUGCCUGAGGGAAAGUUUGUAGAAAGUCAGCAUUAAAAGUGUAGAAAAGCUUGAAGAACUACUUAUUCAAUCUUAAGUCACAAGAAACAGCAGAUUUUGACCUGCAGAACACUGAAACAGAAUCCAUCUGUCUGGCAAGAGCAUUUUUUUGUUAACCAUGCUGGAAACUAUCUGCUUUCCUGCAGUGCUUUUAUAGAUAUAUAUUUUCUUAUCAGAAGAAUCAAUUAAAUAUCGUGUAUAAUUGUACUUUUCAUCAAAGAUAUUCUUCAGAGUAAUCAAUGAGCUCUUAUUGAAAUGACUUACCCUGCAAUUUGAUUUUUACUAAUCAGUCAUGACAGAGAAUGAUCUUUUCCCAUUUUAAUAAGUUGUGAGGAGUGCAGAAGCAUGAGAUCUGUUCACUUAUCACAGAAUCCAGCAGAACUAUGCAGAUGUACCUCCGUUCCUCAAGGCAGGCAUUGCUGUAGGACUUACAUAGCUUGUGCAUGUUUUUAAGUGAUAUGAUUGAAGAACGUUACAUAGGCCAUGCAAGGAACAGCCUGCUACACUAACUGACCCCGUGGAAUUGUGGCAAUACAUGGAUUAAUUUCUCCCCUUUGAACUCUGUUCUAUUUGUUUGCAAUAUCCUAAAUUUGUUCUUCUUUAUGCUAAUCCCAAGUCAUUUACUGCACAAGCAGCCAGUCAAUAGAUUAACAAAUCAUGUAGCCCAGCAGAAGGCCAUUUAACACUUUAUGCACAUGGACUCUUUUGGAACAUAUAUCCAAUUAGUCAGACUUCCCUGCUCUUUCCUCAUAGCCAUGCAAAAGUUUUAUUUGUCACUAGAAAUCCAGUUCCUUUUAAGGUUACCGCUGAAUAUAUGCCUAUCUAUCUUUCAGUCCAAGCAUCCGAGAUCAUAGAAACACACCAGUUCUUGGAACAGACCACACUGCAGGCUAUUUAUUCAUUGUAAUUUUUAUGGAGCAUUUCAGUUCAUUAAAA